AACUGUGAGACAGGUGCUGCAUGGCUGUCGUCAGCUCGUGCCGUGAGGUGUCGGGUUAAGUCCCAUAACGAGCGCAACCCUUAUCGUUAGUUGCCAUCUGGUAAUGCAGGGGACUCUAGCGAAACUGCCACCGUAAGGUGAGAGGAAGGUGGGGAUGACGUCAAAUCAGCACGGCCCUUAUGUCCAGGGCUACACACGUGUUACAAUGGUCGGUACAGAGGGCAGCUACCUGGUGACAGGAUGCUAAUCUCGAAAACCGGUCUCAGUUCGGAUCGAAGUCUGCAACUCGACUUCGUGAAGCUGGAUUCGCUAGUAAUCGCGCAUCAGCUAUGGCGCGGUGAAUACGUUCCCGGGCCUU
rnacentral:rRNA from 1 species